rnacentral:rRNA from 1 species
AGAGUUUGAUCCUGGCUCAGGACGAACGCUGGCGGCGUGCCUAAUACAUGCAAGUCGAGCGGACCACUUCGGUGGUCAGCGGCGGACGGGUGAGUAACACGUGGGCAACCUGCCUGUAAGACUGGGAUAACACCGGGAAACCGGUGCUAAUACCGGAUAAUCCUUUCCUUCACAUGAAGGGAAGCUGAAAGACGGUUUCGGCUGUCACUUACAGAUGGGCCCGCGGCGCAUUAGCUAGUUGGUGAGGUAACGGCUCACCAAGGCAACGAUGCGUAGCCGACCUGAGAGGGUGAUCGGCCACACUGGGACUGAGACACGGCCCAGACUCCUACGGGAGGCAGCAGUAGGGAAUCUUCCGCAAUGGACGAAAGUCUGACGGAGCAACGCCGCGUGAGCGAUGAAGGCCUUCGGGUCGUAAAGCUCUGUUGUCAGGGAAGAACAAGUACCGGAGUAACUGCCGGUACCUUGACGGUACCUGACCAGAAAGCCACGGCUAACUACGUGCCAGCAGCCGCGGUAAUACGUAGGUGGCAAGCGUUGUCCGGAAUUAUUGGGCGUAAAGCGCGCGCAGGCGGUCCUUUAAGUCUGAUGUGAAAGCCCACGGCUCAACCGUGGAGGGUCAUUGGAAACUGGGGGACUUGAGUGCAGAAGAGGAAAGUGGAAUUCCACGUGUAGCGGUGAAAUGCGUAGAGAUGUGGAGGAACACCAGUGGCGAAGGCGACUUUCUGGUCUGUAACUGACGCUGAGGCGCGAAAGCGUGGGGAGCAAACAGGAUUAGAUACCCUGGUAGUCCACGCCGUAAACGAUGAGUGCUAAGUGUUAGAGGGUUUCCGCCCUUUAGUGCUGCAGCUAACGCAUUAAGCACUCCGCCUGGGGAGUACGGCCGCAAGGCUGAAACUCAAAGGAAUUGACGG